AAUAUCCAUGGUUAAAAGACUUAUAAAGAGUUUUAAAAAAAUAUCUUAUUAUAGCUUGUUAAAUUAUCACAUAAUAAAAUAAUUUAUAUAUUGUCAAUUGAAAAUGAUUUUAAAGACAUUUACUGCGAUAUUAUUUUUGUUAUGUAUUGUGAAGCUAAAAAUAUGUUAUGGCAUAAAAUUCUGGAAGACAAAAGAUAAAUCAUUAGAAAGAGCUUUAAAGUUAGACACUGGUUUCGAGUAUCCUAGCUAUGAGGAUCUAUGCGAUUUGUCAAUGGAAGAUUUCAAAAACAAAAUCUGCGCAGGAGAUACAGUAUUAAGAAGUAUUACUGAUUCAAUAAAAACAAAAAUUCACUUUAUAGAGUUGGAUCUCCUUUGUGGUAAUACAUUCAAUCUUCUUCAAUAUUUGAAUCUUAUUUAUUUUUUCAUUAAUUUUCCGUCUGGACAAACAUAUGAUAUAAACAGAAUUAUUUUAAACGAAUCAAUUACAAAACAUAUUUUAGUUAUUUUGAUGAAAAAGAAUCGCAAAGAAAUAUUUGACGGUUUUUGGGCAAUGCAUUUUUAUAUUUCUUAUAUUCGAUUGUUUGGUAAUGAAAUACAUCAAUGUCCAUAUAAUAUUGCAAAUGCUCACCAAAUCCUUCGCACAAUGUUAAUAUAUUUUUCUUUAAAUGUAUGUAGAUAUAAUAAUAAGUAUGACGUAAAAGAUACUCCUUCAGAUAUUUCGGAACAAUAUUCAACUCUCACGAAUCUUAUAGAUGUUAUGAUUCGAAGAAGAGAAAUCAACAAAAAUGUAUUGGUAAUUGGGGACAAAGAUGAAAGUGCAUUCUCACUCAGAAGUAUUUAUAUGUGCGACAUAAUUGAAAACAAAGAAUUAUUGAGAAUUGUUAUAAUGGAUUUCGGUGAACAAAGUAAAGAUACGUUUGAUGCUAUUUAUAAUGACAUACAUGAAGCAUACAAACAAGCAAAGAAUUAUUUUAUGUUUGAUUUAUGGAUAAAACGAAUUGGAGUUUAUCAACGAAAAGUCUUAAACGUUUUUAAAACCGUUUUAAUGAAUUUAAUGAAAAAACACUUUAUCUACAGUUCUUUAAUGUUAGACAAUGAACAAAUAGAUAAAGUAAAAUAUUUCAUAGAUAAAAUAGCAAAUUCACUUCAAAAUUUGACUUUGUUAUUUAAUGGCGUAGAAGCUCAUGAUUUUGAAAAAAUGUUCAAAUCUCUCACAGAUUUACCCUCAGAUCAUCAAAAUCUUAGAUAUUAUCAUGGUAUUUUGAUUUUAAAUAUCGAACGCAUAAUAGAUACAAUAAAACCCAACUUUUUUAAAUUAAUUUCAAAUGAUAUAAUUAGUGACUCAGACUAUGAAUCGAAAAUCAAUUUUGAAACUAUAAUGUAUAUUGUAAGAAAUGAAUUGAAUGAAAAUAAAUCCAUCAAAAAUAUUGAAAAUUUUUGUUCAUUUUCAGAUUCUAAAGGAAUGAAUGAUAAUUUUGUAAGAAUAUUUUUAUUUACGAAUUUAUUAAAUAAAUCAUUCGAAAAAGUAAGCAUAAUAAGUAUUUUAUCAUGUUUAAAAUUUUGUGAAUCUUUGGAAACAUUUGGUUUUAAUAACCAUGGUCAUGUAGAUGGUGAAAAUGAGGAAAGGUUAUUGGAAUUGUGAAACAUAUUUUUUAAAACAAACUUCAAUCAUUUACAAUUAUAAAUAAAAUUUUUGAUUCCAAACUUUUAUUAAAUUUACAUACUUUGCAGUUAAAAAACGCCUUUUUUAUUUAUUUGGCAUUAAACGAAAUCAUUGGAGCUUUAUCCACUCAUUUAUACUAAAAUGUUUUUUAUAUUGGAGUUUUAUAAAUAUACUUUCUCAUUCUGAUUAUUUGACAUCCAAAACUUUUUUAAUUUGAAAUCUUUCAAAUAUAGAAUGAAUCAAUCUUAUACCACUACUGUUCAAACUUCUUAAAAAUAAAAUAAAUUAUUUUUCACUUCUUAAUAAUAUUAACUUUACAUUAGACACAAUGUUAUAAAUGCAUAUGUGUGUAUGUGUGAGUUUAUUUAUUUAUUGUAUCAUUAAAGUGUAGUGUAUAUUAAUAUACAAGCGAUAGAGUAGGUAAUUGAUUUGACGCUAUAUUGUUUAAACCCAACUAAACGCUAAAUUGUACAUUCCGAAACAACAAUCAUAUUAUGUCUAUUGCCACCGGAAUUUCUGAUAAUCUUUUUCUUUUUCUUUGCCUUAAUCCCAACUACUUGGGGUCGGCCACCCUCAUCCUAAACUUCCACUUGACACGAUCUCCUCAUAUCGCAUUCAAUAACAUCCCUCAAUCUCUUUUUUGGUCUUCCUCUACCUCUUCUUUCUUUAACAAUCAUUUCUAUAACUGUUCUUACAACUUCCGAUUCUUCUCUCGUUAGAACAUGACCAAACAAUCUAAGUCUAUUUUCUGUCAUCUUAUCCACGAUUGACGCAACACCUAUACUUUCUCUUAUAUACUCGUUCCUUAUCCUAUCUUCUCUAUUCACUCCACUCAUCCAACUAAGCAUUCUCAUCUCUGUUACACGUAUUCUCUGCUCUACUUUCUUAUCAACCGCCCAACACUAUGAACCAUACAUUAUAGCUAGCCUCACAAUUUCAUACUAAAUUUAAAAACUAUAAAUAGUAUUUAUUCAUAUAUUAUAUUUUAAAAUCAAAGAACUACUAAUCAGGAUAUAAUUAAAGAAAUAAGAGUUCAUGUUGCUUUUAAAAUAUUUCACCAAUUUCUCUAAAGGAAACACUAUCUACAGAUUUGCAUCGAAGCGUUUCUUAUGAUAGUGAUAUUAAUCACUGUCAGAUAUCAUCUAUACUUGUCCCAUCUAUGCCUCGUCCACACUGUGCCUCGACCCCACUGUGCUACCGUUUUUUUU